GUCGGCCUUGUGCUAAAAAUCGUUCCUUUUUUUACAAAAAUACAAAAAAAAAUAUAUAUAUAUAAAAUCUUCAAAAACUAAAAACAUUUUCAAACAAACAAACAAUCUGUCAUCUAGAACUACGUAACCCUGAUUUUUCAUUUUCAAUGAGAAUACGUAGGAGCAAGGUCAAUCCUUGUCGGGCCCAAAAUACUAAAAAAAUAUUUUUUGUUUCUCUAGAUUGUCGUUUUAGGGGAUAGUUAAACAUUUUGUAAACCACGCCACAUUUGCGCAUUUAAUUAAAGGUACUGCUUUCGGGCAGGCGUUGUAGGGUGCUAAUACCUUCUCUACACGUAACCGACUCCCGAACCCAAUCUUUGGUUUUCGUGGACCGUGCUUUAUCAUUUUAUGGUUUUUCCGUAGUUUUCCAGAAUAAACUAUGGUGGCGACUCCAAAACAUUUUUCAAAACCUGUUUUCUUUUUGGAUCGUCGUCCCGUCGCGAUUCCGGUUGCGACACUUCUAAAAAUAAUAACUCUUGGUCGUGACAGUGUUCUACUUCUCCAAUUAAAAAAAACAUGUCUUCUCCUAGCAUGAAGCCGUGACACCUUUCAACAAUAAAAAGAUUUUCCAGCCAUGAAUGUCCGUGCCUUAUUCAAUGAUGAAGGUGACCAUGGCUUGUAAAAUUGGAUGCACGGUGAGCCCUCCUUCCAAAAAUUGAAUUAGCACUUGAAUAUUUAAAAGCAAGGAAAGAGAAGCCGGGAGAUGUGAAAACACC
rnacentral:lncRNA from 1 species